rnacentral:rRNA from 1 species
UACGGAGGAUCCAAGCGUUAUCCGGAAGCAUUGGGUUUAAAGGGUCCGUAGGCGGAUAAAUAAGUCAGUGGUGAAAGUCUGCAGCUCAACUGUAGAAUUGCCAUUGAUACUGUUUAUCUUGAGUUAUUAUGAAGUGGUUAGAAUGAGUAGUGUAGCGGUGAAAUGCAUAGAUAUUACUCAGAAUACCGAUUGCGAAGGCAGAUCACUAAUAAUCGACUGACGCUGAUGGACGAAAGCGUAGGUAGCGAACAGG